AUCCAGAUGACGAGUCCCAAAUAGGAUGAAAUGUGCAUCCUAGAU
rnacentral:hammerhead_ribozyme from 1 species